GAUGAACGCUGGCGGCGUGCCUAAUACAUGCAAGUCGAGCGAACGGACGAGAGGCUUGCUUCUCUGAUGUUAGCGGCGGACGGGUGAGUAACACGUGGAUAACCUACCUAUAAGACUGGGAUAACUUCGGGAAACCGGAGCUAAUACCGGAUAAUAUUUUGAACCGCAUGGUUCAAAAGUGAAAGACGGUCUUGCUGUCACUUAUCGAUGGAUCCGCGCUGCAUUAGCUAGUUGGUAAGGUAACGGCUUACCAAGGCAACGAUGCAUAGCCGACCUGAGAGGGGGAUCGGCCACACGGGAACUGAGACACGGUCCAGACUCCUACGGGAGGCAGCAGUAGGGAAUCGUCCGCAAUGGGCGAAAGCCUGACGGAGCAACGCCGCGUGAGUGAUGAAGGUCUUCGGAUCGUAAAACUCUGUUAUUAGGGAAGAACAGAUGUGGAAGUAACUGUGCACAUCUUGACGGUACCUAAUCAGAAAGCCACGGCUAACUACGUG
rnacentral:rRNA from 1 species